CUCUCAGCCGUGUGGAGCUGUGUGUCGUCAGCGUCCGUCAUGAUACUGCUGUCCUGACUGUCGUCCACCUCUGCCGCUAACAGGACAAACAGCUGUUCAGCUCCACAAACUGACCAAUCAGAGGGCAGAUCAUGGUGGACACAUUCACUGACGGAUCCAGAUCCAUCGCCCAGCUGAAGUUCAUCAGAGCCAGG